rnacentral:rRNA from 1 species
GUUGCAAAGCACUUUGAAGAGAGAGUUAAAGAGGACGUGAAACCGGUGAGGUGGAAACGGAUAGAGUCGGCGUAUCAUUCAAGUAUUCAGUUACAUUAUUUUUAUGUUGUGACCUCUGAGCUCCAGAUUGGGACAGAGGGAAGCAGCAUAAUUUUUUGUGGUGCAUUUACUUGAUUGGUGCUUGGGGAUGUUUGAGGCAGAUUUGUUUCCGUCGUUUUGAGGCCAGCUUGCUGGUACCCAAACGGUGUUAGCAUUUUUUGUYUUGGACAUUUGAGUAUGGCUCACGUGUAUUUAUUGGAUUGAUCUGAGUGUAAGUUGCGGUCGCAUGCGACACGUGSUUUUCAWUUAGUUCGGUCCRGUUAAUGCUCYCGUACUCCUUCCCCAUGUAAAAGCCGGUCAUCUAUCCGACCCGUCUUGAAACACGGACCAAGGAGUUUAUCGUGUGCGCAAGUUUUUGGGUGUUAAAAACCUAAAAGCGAAAUGAAAGUAAAUGRCUUUUUAGAGUCUGAUGUGCGAUCUWGUAAAAAAGUGCAGCAUGGCCCCAUUCUAACUGUUUACAGUAGGGUGGCGGAAGAGCGUACGCGGUGAGACCCGAAAGAUGGUGAACUAUUCCUGAGCAGGACGAAGCCAGAGGAAACUCUGGUGGAAGUCCGAAGCGGUUCUGACGUGCAAAUCGAUCGUCUGACUUGGGUAUAGGGGCGAAAGACUAAUCGAACCAUCUAGUAGCUGGU